rnacentral:misc_RNA from 1 species
UCGAAUUAUAAGCGGAGGUUGUCGCUGGCCCCUCGGGGGGCAUGUGCACGCCCGAGCUCUUAAUCCACUUACACCAGUGAACUCUUUGUGGGGAAACCGUCCGUCCUGGAGGGGAUUCUCAUGUAUUAUUCUAUAUACUCUUAUGCAUGUCUUCAGAAUGUCCUGAUGUUGCUCCAACGCAAUCAUAUAUAUAUA